rnacentral:lncRNA from 1 species
GAGAGAAUCCAGACAGCAUCUCAGGACGUCUGAGACACCCACGCGACUAUACAUCGGAAGGCGGAUGGACUUUCCUCCGGGAGGAUGUGGAAAUAGGUGAAAACUCUCCGACCCCGACGGGCAGCCUAGUACCCGCAAGCGGCUUUCUUCCAACGGGUGACCCCAGAGGAUCCACGCACAUCUAGGGCAGGAGCGAGAACACAACAGAGGAGCGACGGUGGAAACAGACUAGAACAUCGAACAGCUUACUCAGGGUUUCGGAAAGAAAACCCUGGACUUUUUCUUCUGCCAGAGCCCCGCCUUCUCAUCUGUUGGACUUUUCCAUUGGAUUUUCACCCAGGCGCUGUAUUGUUUGAAAGGAAUUGGAUGGAAAAAGAUGCCUUGGCUUGUAGUACGAAAGCCGCUAAAGAGCCUUCGGGAAGCUCAUUUGGGCACUUUUUCCUUGUUGGCUCAGAGAUGCUGAAAUUCCC